UGUCUCACCCCCGGCUCCUCUUAAUCAGUUUUCCACCAUUACAGCGGCCACACCAUUGCUUUUUGUUUUUUUUUUUUCCUUUUUUUUUCCCCUUGGAUCUCUCUCCAGAUAUUCCCUCUGCCGGCCGGAUCGCUCGGGAACUCGCCUUUUGUGGCUUAAGACAGGACCCCCAAACCGUCUAGCAGAGACCCCUACAGCGUAAUUAUAAUUAAAAAUGGAACCCCGCAAGAUCCGAGGUCUCCUCCCUUUUCGCCUGGAAGCCUUCGAGAGGGAAUCAGUCCCACCCCCACCUUUUUCCCCUCCUCCUCCAGCUACAAACACACUUCUUUUUUAGGGGAAGCUGGAGCCCCGAGGAGGUGACCCUGCCUCGGCCAGGGUGAUCUCCAGAGAGCCCUUCCAACCCUCACAAAUCUGUGAUUUGGUGAUCUUUCCCUCAGGAGCUUGACAAAUAGCAACUCUGUAGAUGGGACCUCACAUAAACCAGGCAGGAGGCAUGUUACCAAAAUGGAAUCAUUUCCCACCAGAACUCGUACUGAAACCCUAAUUAAUAUUGAAAAGUCUGUGCUCUGCCAUGUCUUCAAAUCCAUGGAAUUUGGGUAAGGAGCUGGAUCAGUCAGAAGAGUUUAUAGCACAUUUACACAAAUUCAAUGCUUUCACCACACCUAUUCUUUUGUAAAAAUACAACUGUUGCAAUA